rnacentral:rRNA from 1 species
GGGUUGUGAGGUUAAGCGACUAAGCGUACACGGUGGAUGCCCUGGCAGUCAGAGGCGAUGAAGGACGUGCUAAUCUGCGAAAAGCGUCGGUAAGGUGAUAUGAACCGUUAUAACCGGCGAUGUCCGAAUGGGGAAACCCAGUGUGAUUCGUCACACUAUCGUUAACUGAAUACAUAGGUUAACGAGGCGAACCGGGGGAACUGAAACAUCUAAGUACCCCGAGGAAAAGAAAUCAACCGAGAUUCCCCCAGUAGCGGCGAGCGAACGGGGAGCAGCCCAGAGUCUGAAUCAGCUUGUGUGUUAGUGGAACGGUCUGGAAAGUCCGACGGUACAGGGUGAUAGUCCCGUACACCAAAAUGCACAGGUUGUGAACUCGAAGAGUAGGGCGGGACACGUGGUAUCCUGUCUGAAUAUGGGGGGACCAUCCUCCAAGGCUAAAUACUCCUGACUGACCGAUAGUGAACCAGUACCGUGAGGGAAAGGCGAAAAGAACCCCGGCGAGGGGAGUGAAAAAGAACCUGAAACCGUGUACGUACAAGCAGUGGGAGCACCUUCGGGUGUGACUGCGUACCUUUUGUAUAAUGGGUCAGCGACUUAUAUUCUGUAGCAAGGUUAACCGUAUAGGGGAGCCGCAGGGAAACCGAGUCUUAACUGGGCGUUAAGUUGCAGGGUAUAGACCCGAAACCCGGUGAUCUAGCCAUGGGCAGGUUGAAGGUUGGGUAACACUAACUGGAGGACCGAACCGACUAAUGUUGAAAAAUUAGCGGAUGACUUGUGGCUGGGGGUGAAAGGCCAAUCAAACCGGGAGAUAGCUGGUUCUCCCCGAAAGCUAUUUAGGUAGCGCCUCGUGAACUCAUCUUCGGGGGUAGAGCACUGUUUCGGCUAGGGGGUCAUCCCGACUUACCAACCCGAUGCAAACUACGAAUACCGAAGAAUGUUAUCACGGGAGACACACGGCGGGUGCUAACGUCCGUCGUGAAGAGGGAAACAACCCAGACCGCCAGCUAAGGUCCCAAAGUCAUGGUUAAGUGGGAAACGAUGUGGGAAGGCACAGACAGCCAGGAUGUUGGCUUAGAAGCAGCCAUCAUUUAAAGAAAGCGUAAUAGCUCACUGGUCGAGUCGGCCUGCGCGGAAGAUGUAACGGGGCUAAACCAUGCACCGAAGCUGCGGCAGCGACACUAUGUGUUGUUGGGUAGGGGAGCGUUCUGUAAGCCUGCGAAGGUGACCUGUGAGGGUUGCUGGAGGUAUCAGAAGUGCGAAUGCUGACAUAAGUAACGAUAAAGCGGGUGAAAAGCCCGCUCGCCGGAAGACCAAGGGUUCCUGUCCAACGUUAAUCGGGGCAGGGUGAGUCGACCCCUAAGGCGAGGCCGAAAGGCGUAGUCGAUGGGAAACAGGUUAAUAUUCCUGUACUUGGUGUUACUGCGAAGGGGGGACGGAGAAGGCUAUGUUAGCCGGGCGACGGUUGUCCCGGUUUAAGCAUGUAGGCUGGUUGUCCAGGCAAAUCCGGAUAAUCAAGGCUGAGGUGUGAUGACGAGGCACUACGGUGCUGAAGUAACAAAUGCCCUGCUUCCAGGAAAAGCCUCUAAGCAUCAGGUAACAUCAAAUCGUACCCCAAACCGACACAGGUGGUCAGGUAGAGAAUACCAAGGCGCUUGAGAGAACUCGGGUGAAGGAACUAGGCAAAAUGGUGCCGUAACUUCGGGAGAAGGCACGCUGGUGUGUAGGUGAAGUCCCUGCGGAUGGAGCUGAGACCAGUCGAAGAUACCAGCUGGCUGCAACUGUUUAUUAAAAACACAGCACUGUGCAAACACGAAAGUGGACGUAUACGGUGUGACGCCUGCCCGGUGCCGGAAGGUUAAUUGAUGGGGUUAUCCGUAAGGAGAAGCUCUUGAUCGAAGCCCCGGUAAACGGCGGCCGUAACUAUAACGGUCCUAAGGUAGCGAAAUUCCUUGUCGGGUAAGUUCCGACCUGCACGAAUGGCGUAAUGAUGGCCAGGCUGUCUCCACCCGAGACUCAGUGAAAUUGAACUCGCUGUGAAGAUGCAGUGUACCCGCGGCAAGACGGAAAGACCCCGUGAACCUUUACUAUAGCUUGACACUGAACAUUGAGCCUUGAUGUGUAGGAUAGGUGGGAGGCUUUGAAGCGUGGACGCCAGUCUGCGUGGAGCCAACCUUGAAAUACCACCCUUUAAUGUUUGAUGUUCUAACGUUGGCCCCUUAUCGGGGUUGCGGACAGUGUCUGGUGGGUAGUUUGACUGGGGCGGUCUCCUCCCAAAGCGUAACGGAGGAGCACGAAGGUUAGCUAAUCCUGGUCGGACAUCAGGAGGUUAGUGCAAUGGCAUAAGCUAGCUUGACUGCGAGCGUGACGGCGCGAGCAGGUGCGAAAGCAGGUCAUAGUGAUCCGGUGGUUCUGAAUGGAAGGGCCAUCGCUCAACGGAUAAAAGGUACUCCGGGGAUAACAGGCUGAUACCGCCCAAGAGUUCAUAUCGACGGCGGUGUUUGGCACCUCGAUGUCGGCUCAUCACAUCCUGGGGCUGAAGUAGGUCCCAAGGGUAUGGCUGUUCGCCAUUUAAAGUGGUACGCGAGCUGGGUUUAGAACGUCGUGAGACAGUUCGGUCCCUAUCUGCCGUGGGCGCUGGAGAAUUGAGGGGGGCUGCUCCUAGUACGAGAGGACCGGAGUGGACGCAUCACUGGUGUUCGGGUUGUCAUGCCAAUGGCACUGCCCGGUAGCUAAAUGCGGAAGAGAUAAGUGCUGAAAGCAUCUAAGCACGAAACUUGCCCCGAGAUGAGUUCUCCCUGAGACUUUAAGUCUCCUGAAGGAACGUUAAAGACGAUGACGUUGAUAGGCCGGGUGUGUAAGCGCAGCGAUGCGUUGAGCUAACCGGUACUAAUGAACCGUGAGGCUUAACCUUACAACGCCGAAG